UCCCGUUGAUCCUGCGGGAGGUUGCUGCUAUUAGAGUUUGACUAAGCCAUGCAAGUUAGGUGACUUUAUGUUGCCGGCAAACUGCUCAGUAACACGUCGAUAAUCUGCCCUUGGAUUCAGGAUAACCUUGGGAAACUGAGGCUAAUAUUGAAUAGGGGAUUAUUUCUGGAAUGAAUUAUCCUUUAAAAGUAAUGUCCGAGAAUGGGUCGGCGGCCAAUCAGGUUGUUGGUGGUGUAAUGGACCACCAAGCCGAAGAUUGGUAGGGGCCCUGAAAGGGGUAGCCUCGAGAAGGGCACUGAGAUACUGGCCCUAGCCCUACGGGGUGCAGCAGGCGCGGAACCUUUACACUGCACGAAAGUGUGAUAAGGGAACUCUAAGUGCUUACCUUAUGGUGGGCUUUUGCUAAAUGUAAAUAGUUUGGCGAAUAAGUGGUGGGCAAGACGGGUGCCAGCCGCCGCGGUAACACCUGCGCCACAAGUGGCAACCAUCGUUAUUGGGCCUAAAGCGUCCGUAGCCGGUUCAGUUAAUCUUUUGUGAAAUUGUUGUGCUUAACACAGCAGUGUGCAGAAGACACUACUAGACUUGGAACUGGGAGGAGUCAGAAGUAUUUUUGGGGGAGCGGUAAAAUGUUAUAAUCCCAGAAAGACUACCUGUGGCGAAAGCGUCUGACUAGCACAGAUUCGACGGUGAGGGACGAAAGCCAGGGGAGCAAUCCGGAUUAGAUACCCGAGUAGUCCUGGCCAUAAACGCUGCGAGCUAGGUGUUGCACAUUCUUCGUGAAUGUGCAGUGUCGUAGAGAAGUCGUUAAGCUCGCCGCCUGGGGAGUAUAGUCGCAAGACCGAAACUUAAAGGAAUUGGCGGGGGAGCACUACAAGGGGUGCGGCGUGCGGUUUAAUCUAAUUCAACGCAGAGAACCUCACCAGAAGCGACGGCAGAAUGAAAGUCAGUCUAAAGGGCUUACUUGACGAGCCGAGAGGUAGCGCAUGGCCGCCGUCAGCUCAUGCCGUAAGGUGUCCUGUUAAGUCAGGCAACGAGCGAGACCUGUACUUACAAUUGCUAACAACGAGUUUCGGAUUGAGCACAUUGUAGGGACCGCCCUCGAAAGGGGGAGGAAGGUGCAGGCUACGGUAGGUCUGUAUGCUCCGAAUCUUCUGGGCUACACGCGCGCAACAAUGGUAAGGACAAUGGGAUGCAACUCUGAAAAGAGGAGCUAAUCCUCCAAACCUUAUCCUAGUUCAGAUCGAGGUUUGCAACUCAGCCUCGUGACGCUGGAAUCCCUAGUAAUCAGACGUCAUCAUCGUCCGGUGAAUAUGUCCCUGCUCCUUGCACACACCGCCCGUCAAACCACCUGAGUAGGGUUUAGAUGAGGCUUAAUUUUUAAUUAAGUCGAAUCUAAGCUUUGCGAGGAGGGUUAAGUCGUCACAAGGUA
rnacentral:rRNA from 1 species